rnacentral:tRNA from 2 species
GCGGAUGUGGCUCAGUGGUAGAGCACCGCCUUGCCAAGGCGGGAGUCGCGGGUUCGAAUCCCGUCAUCCGCUCCA